GGUUAUCUUAAAAUUUUCCAAAAAAAAAAAAAAAAUUAAUUCAAAUAUAAAUAAUAAAGUAAUAAAGUAAAAAUAAAAUUAUUAAAUGGUUAAUACUCGUAAAUAAAUAACAUAUAAAUAAAAAUAAAAGAUGCUAUAAUACCACAUGAUUCUAAUCACUUUUAUUCUCAAAAAAUAUCAUUUUUUAAUUCAAUAUUCUAUAAACUUGAAUGUAAUUCAUUAAAUAAACAUAAUUAUCAACACAAACUCAAUAUUAUCUAUAAUAUAGCCCAUAGAAAUAAUUUGAAAUUAAAUACAUUAAAAAAAUUCAUGAACGUAUUAAAGAAAAAAUAAUACACAACUCUCCAAAUAAUGUUGUUAGCCAUUGUAGUAUGAAAUAUCAAAAUAAUAAGUUUAACCAAUUCGCUAAAAUUUUGAACAAUAAUACAAAUAAUGUAAAAAUCGCUUUUAAGACUAAUAAUAAUUUGAUCAAACAUAUAAACAAUAGAACUAAAAACUUCACAGAAAAUAAUCCCCCUUCUUUUAAAAAUGCCAGUAUAUAUAAACUUAAAUGUUACUGUAAUAAAUUGUAUAUAGGUAAGACAAAUAGAAAUUUUAAAAUAAGAUAUAAAAAACUUAUUUCUGAAAUAAAAUUAAAAAAGACUACCCCUAAUUCAAAUUCUGCUAAACAAGUUUUAGAAAAUAACCAUAUAUAAGCUUUGAUAUUAAUACAGACUUGGAAAUAUUAAAUACCCAAAAUAACAUUUACAUUAAUUCAGUUUAAGAAAAAUUACCCAACCAUUGAAGUAAAGAAAAAUAAUUUUAAUAAUAUUUUAAAUGUUCAAACCGAUUUUAAAAAUGAUAUAUUAUAUCAAUACAUUUUAUAUAAUAAAUAAUAACAAAAUAAUUUAUAUUUCUUAAUAUAUCUAUGUUUAAUAAUAACUAAUUUUAAAUAAUCUUUCUUAUUAAAAUAAAUAAUUUCUAUAUUCUAUGUAAAAUGACCAAUUUGUAUAAUUUUUUUUUAUAUGUAUUUCUUUAUUUAAUUUUUUAUAAUAAGUCACGUUUUACAUUUUGUCCGUGUUAUACCUAAUGAUAAAUUUUUAAUUCGAAACCAGUUGUAUAAUUUAUCAUAAUGCUCCAAGAGAUGCAUUUAUUAUUUUUUUUUUUUAUUUUUAUCUUUAUAUUUGUAUUUACGUAUUUUUAUAUUAUAUUCAAAUAUAAAUAUUUAUAGUCCUCUUCCUUGUGAGUAAUAUAAAAAAACAGAAUUUGAUUAUCUUUAUUACCUCCGGAGAUAUUCAAGAGGUAUAUCUUGAUGGGACAGCUUGUAUUUAAU